AUGUGAAAUAGCUCAGUUGGUAGAGCACUAGAAUAAUUUCUGGCCGUGAUCAGUUCGAAUCUGAUUUUCUCA
rnacentral:tRNA from 1 species